CUUCAUUCAUAUCAUAUACUCUCUGUGGGGGCUAAUUUGCAUAUAACGGAAGAUAUAUGGCAUAUAAACUCUCACAUGUCGCGAAGACGAUAGAUUCAACAUUAUAUAUUCGAAGUGUUGGAUGGUGUGUCCUAACGCUGUUGUGUCAUUUUAAAUACUUACAUCAAGACGUGAAGCUACUUUUGUUGUACAAUUCAAAUUCUGUCGGUUCAUAAUGUUGAAAAUGUAUGGUCAACGUGUUUAUUUUAUUCAAUAUCUGGUGACGCUAGUUCUUGUUCGUCAAGUUUGUAGCAACGGUGCGCUAGAUAAAAAUCAUAAUAUUUACUGCAACCCAUAUCCUCAAGUGGUUUCUGUGGAUCAAAGGGAUUACCGUGCUUUGUGAAUCUCCAUCGAUGUCAAGGUUCCAUUGCUAGUCAAUCACCUGACAUUAAAAAGUGUGUCGUAAAAACAUAUGAAAAUGUCACUGUGGAAGUAGUUGUAGACUCUGGAACAAAAAAUAUCUCCCUCAGCAACCAUACCAGUUGCAAAGAAGAAUGUAGCAAUUCUUGCCCAUCCUUUUUAACACAAAAUGAUGAAUGUGGAUGUCGUGUACUCAUAGUUCACCACCUCGUGGACACAAGUGCCCUGAAUACCA